AACGAACGCUGGCGGCAGGCCUAACACAUGCAAGUCGAGCGCCCUUUCGGGGGAGCGGCGGACGGGUGAGUAACGCGUGGGAAUAUGCCCUUCUCUACGGAAUAGCCUCGGGAAACUGAGAGUAAUACCGUAUACGCCCUAUGGGGGAAAGAUUUAUCGGGGAAGGAUUAGCCCGCGUUGGAUUAGGUAGUUGGUGGGGUAAUGGCCUACCAAGCCGACGAUCCAUAGCUGGUUUGAGAGGAUGAGCAGCCACACUGGGACUGAGACUCGGCCCAGACUCCUACGGGAGGCAGCAGUGGGGAAUCUUAGACAAUGGGGGCAACCCUGAUCUAGCCAUGCCGCGUGAGUGAUGAAGGCCUUAGGGUUGUAAAGCUCUUUCAGCUGGGAAGAUAAUGACGGUACCAGCAGAAGAAGCCCCGGCUAACUCCGUG
rnacentral:rRNA from 1 species